rnacentral:rRNA from 1 species
UAGCCUUGACAUAUAUUAGAACUCCGUAGAGAUACAGAGGUGCCUUCGGGAGCUUUUAUACAGGUGCUGCACGGCUGUCGUCAGCUCGUGUCGUGAGAUGUUGGGUUAAGUCCCGCAACGAGCGCAACCCUCGUCACUAGUUACUAACGGUUCGGCCGAGGACUCUAGUGAGACUGCCUUCGCAAGGAGGAGGAAGGUGAGGACGACGUCAAGUCAUCAUGGCCCUUACGGCUAGGGCAACACACGUGCUACAAUGGCCAGGACAGUGAGACGCGAUACCGCGAGGUGGAGCAAAUCUAUAAACCUGGUCUCAGUUCGGAUUGUAGUCUGCAACUCGACUACAUGAAGCUGGAAUCACUAGUAAUCGUAAAUCAGCUAUGUUACGGUGAAUACGUUCCCGGGUCU